AGAGAGAGAGACUUCCAAUAAAGGCUCUACCACUUGACUGUGUUUCACCAAUCAAACGUAGUUGUGCAGUCUCGUCACAUGACUCAAUCUCAGCGGUGGGACGGUACCAUGGAUGUA